GAUGAAGAACGUAGCGAAAUGCGAUAAGUAAUGUGAAUUGCAGAAUUCAGUGAAUCAUCGAAUCUUUGAACGCACAUUGCGCCCGCCAGUAUUCUGGCGGGCAUGCCUGUUCGAGCGUCAUUUCAACCAUCAAGCCCCCGGCUUGUGUUGGGGACCUGCGGCUGCCGCAGGCCCUGAAAACCAGUGGCGGGCUCGCUAGUCACUCCGAGCGUAGUAAUACAUCUCGCUCAGGGCGUGCUGCGGGUUCCGGGCGUUAAAAAGCCUUAUUUACCCAAGGUUGACCUCGGAUCAGGUAGGAAGACCCGCUGAACUUAAGCAUAUCAAUAAGCGGAGGA
rnacentral:misc_RNA from 1 species